GGGGAAUUUUCCGCAAUGGGCGAAAGCCUGACGGAGCAAUACCGCGUGAGGGAGGAAUGCCUUUGGGUUGUAAACCUCUUUUCUCAGGGAAGAAGAUCUGACGGUACCUGAGGAAUAAGUAUCGGCUAACUCCGUGCCAGCAGCCGCGGUAAUACGGAGGAUGCAAGCGUUAUCCGGAAUCAUUGGGCGUAAAGCGUCCGCAGGUGGUUUCCAAAGUCUGCUGUUAAAGACUGGAGCUCAACGCCGGAACGGCGGUGGAAACUUGGAAACUAGAGUUCGGUAGGGGUAGCAGGAAUUCCCAGUGUAGCGGUGAAAUGCGUAGAUAUUGGGAAGAACAUCGGUGGCGAAGGCGUGCUACUGGACCGUAACUGACACUCAGGGACGAAAGCUAGGGGAGCGAAAGGGAUUAGAUACCCCUGUAGUCCUAGCUGUAAACGAUGGAAACUAGGUGUGGCUUG
rnacentral:rRNA from 1 species